rnacentral:lncRNA from 1 species
AGAGUCUCUGCCAUCAUUUUCUGAAUGACAACACUCCCAUUUCUGCAGGAAUCUCUGUCGGGUCACCACGCCAAACAUCAACCUUCCUCUUCUCUCCUGCUCAGUGACUGGUUGCUGUAAUGAGAGUCAGUACAUCUGGAAAGAGCUCCAUCCUUCUAGAGCCUGCUCCGGUAAUGUUUUUUAUCGCCGUGCCACCUCCAGCCUUUACUGCUGCAGACAGCUGGAAGCUACUCACUUAUUUCUGACUUCACCCAUUUUCCAUGUGAGUACCCAAACCUGUGACUACUAUAGAAAUCAAACUGCCCAUUUGAAGAGGAACCUUCCAAACACCAAACUAAGACAUGUCCAUCGGUGAAAGAAAGGGACAGUACUCCUGAAGAAGAACGCACCCAUCUUUCUGGGAUGUGGAGGUGCAGCUUGGUGAAUGGUGUACUCAGAGGAG